rnacentral:rRNA from 1 species
AUUGAACGCUGGCGGCAUGCUUUACACAUGCAAGUCGAACGGUAACAGGCCGCAAGGUGCUGACGAGUGGCGAACGGGUGAGUAAUGCAACGGAACGUGCCCAGUCGUGGGGGAUAACUACUCGAAAGAGUAGCUAAUACCGCAUACGAUCUAUGGAUGAAAGCGGGGGACCGUAAGGCCUCGCGCGAUUGGAGCGGCCGAUGUCAGAUUAGGUAGUUGGUGGGGUAAAGGCUCACCAAGCCAACGAUCUGUAGCUGGUCUGAGAGGACGACCAGCCACACUGGGACUGAGACACGGCCCAGACUCCUACGGGAGGCAGCAGUGGGGAAUUUUGGACAAUGGGCGCAAGCCUGAUCCAGCAAUGCCGCGUGCAGGAAGAAGGCCUUCGGGUUGUAAACUGCUUUUGUACGGAACGAAACGGCUCUGGUUAAUACCCGGGGCUAAUGACGGUACCGUAAGAAUAAGCACCGGCUAACUACGUG